rfam:Orientia tsutsugamushi str. Gilliam got.contig.48_1, whole genome shotgun sequence.
AAAGUCUAGUUAUGGAAGGAGAAGCUAGCUCAACCAUAUAGCGAGUCUUGUGCAGUUGAAGGUAACGACAGUAGUAAAGCGUAGACAGUGAAACAUUUGAGAACUGAAACCAAAUGGUGAACGUGAUAGUCCCGAAAGCGUGAUGUAGUGAAAGCAGAUAUGUUCUACAUAGUAAUCAAAAGAAGAUUGGAGGUCAAACUAGUGAAAAUACAAAAAUUUUCAACCACCGGGGUCGCAGGUGU